UACGAAGGGGGCUAGCGUUGUUCGGAAUUACUGGGCGUAAAGCGUGCGCAGGCGGCUGCUCAAGUCAGGGGGUGAAAGCCCAGAGCUCAACUCUGGAAUUGCCUUUGAGACUGAGUGGCUUGAGUACGGGAGAGGUGAGUGGAAUUCCCAGUGAUAGAGGUGAAAUUCGUAGAUAUUGGGAAGAACACCGGUGGCGAAGGCGGCUCACUGGCCCGUAACUGACGCUCAUGCACGACAGCGUGGGGAUCAAACAGG
rnacentral:rRNA from 1 species